rnacentral:rRNA from 1 species
CUUGGUCAUUUAGAGGAAGUAAAAGUCGUAACAAGGUUUCCGUAGGUGAACCUGCGGAAGGAUCAUUAGUGAAUUUUAGGGCGUCUACUUGUAGAGCCUGACCCUCCACUUCUAACACUGUGCAUUAUUCGGUCAUUUGGCGACGUACCUUCGGGUGUCGAGCUGUUUGGCUAAUUUUACCAUUAAACAUUAGUACCAGUAUGUAACGAAAUAUCGAAACAAAAAAAACUUUCAACAACGGAUCUCUUGGCUCUCGCAUCGAUGAAGAACGCAGCGAAAUGUGAUAAGUAAUGUGAAUUGCAGAAUUCAGUGAAUCAUCGAAUCUUUGAACGCACCUUGCGCUCCCUGGUAUUCCGGGGAGCAUGCCUGUUUGAGUGUCAUGAACUCUUCAACCCACCAGUUUCUAGUAGACUGUGUGAUGUUUGGAUCUUGAGCGUUGCUAGUCUGACUAGCUCGUUCGUAAUAUAUUAGCAUCUCUAAUUCGACUUCGGAUUGACUCAGUGUAAUAGGACUAUUCGCUGAGGACACUUUUAUUAGUGGCCGUAUGAGAACCAGUAGAAGCUUCCAACUACUUAGUCAACUUUGAUUUAGACCUCAGAUCAGGCAGGAUUACCCGCUGAACUUAAGCAUAUCAAUAAGCGGAGGA